AUGCCCAAGCGCACCAUGGGAGGGAGGGCCGACGCUAGGGCCGACGCCAUGGCGCACGAAGCAUCCAAGCCCCAUGCAAAGCUGCACAUGGAGAAACCCCUCCCCAAUGGCGAGGGGUCCAGCCAGCAGCAGGGCGGCCUUGACGUCGUCGACCACAUCCAGGCUCCGAUGCAGGUGACACCUAUGCCGGAGUAG
rnacentral:rRNA from 1 species